CAGCCGCCGCGGUAAUACGUAGGUGGCAAGCGUUGUCCGGAUUUAUUGGGUUUAAAGGGUGCGUAGGCGGCCCUGUAAGUCAGUGCUGAAAUAUCCCAGCUUAACUGGGAGGGUGGCAUUGAUACUGCGGGGCUAGAGUACAGAUGAGGUAGGCGGAAUUGACGGUGUAGCGGUGAAAUGCUUAGAUAUCGUCAAGAACACCUAUAGCGAAGGCAGCUUACUAGGCUGUAACUGACGCUGAGGCACGAAAGUGUGGGGAUCAAACAGGAUUAGAUACCCUGGUAGUCCACACUGUAAACGUUGAUUACUCGCUGUGUGCGAUAUACAGUACGCGGCCAAGCGAAAGCGCUAAGUAAUCCACCUGGGGAGUACGCCGGCAACGGUGAAACUCAAAGGAAUUGACGG
rnacentral:rRNA from 1 species